rnacentral:rRNA from 1 species
GACGAACGCUGGCGGCGUGCUUAACACAUGCAAGUCGAACGGAAAGGCCCUGCUUUUGUGGGGUGCUCGAGUGGCGCACGGGUGAGUAACACGUGUGUAACCUGCCCUUGUCUUUGGGAUAACUUCAGGAAACUGGGGCUCAUACCGGAUAGGAGCUUCUGCUGCAUGGUGUGGGUUGGAAAGUUUCGGCGGUUGGGGAUGGACUCGAGGGUUAUCAGCUUGUUGGUGGGGUAGUUGCUUACGAAGGCUUUGACGGAUAGGCGGCCUGAGAGGGUGAACGGGGACAUGGCGACUGAGGGAGGGAGCAGACGGGAAUGGGAGGCAGUAGGGGGGAGUAUGACACAGUAAGCCGAAGCGUGAGACAGAAACGUUGCGAGCGGGAUGACGGCCUGCGGGGUAAGAACAGCUGUCGCCGGAGACGAAGCGAGAGUGACGGUAAUGAGUAAAGAAGCACCGGCUAACUACGUG